AUAAAAAUUUAAAAUUUCGCGCGAUCACUUGAAUACGACCAAUCGGUAAUAUCAACGUCAUUGAUUGGUGCAUUUAUAUUUUAGCUGUCUUUACGACCAAUUAAAUGCAUUAUUCAUUAUGCAAUUUAUCAAUGCUAUAUGUGAAUAAGUUAUUGAAAUAUGUUGUAAUAAAGUGCAACGAUGACGUACCAAUAGAAUAUUAAUAGUUCUCUACUAGUAUAUUAUUGGCGCACCACUGACGUAUCAAUGGCAUCCCAACAAGCGUAACAAUGGCGUUCUGACACCGUAUUAAUGGCGUUUCGACAAUAUUCCAAAAUGGCGUUCUAAUGACUCCAUAAUAAACAGUCAUGCAAUAAUUAUUAGCCUUAAUAAACAAUUACAGAAAUCAUAUUACUUCAAUUUAUAAAAUGGAUCAAUAUACAUACAUUGGUCGUAACAUAUUCAUGCAUACAUACAUACAUACACGCAUACAUAGAAUUUUAGGGAAGAUUGUUGAACGAUACCGAAAUGAAUCGACCACCCCUUUUAUAUUAUUGUUUAUACGAUUGAAGGUAGGGAAGUUACGUAAAGUAUAGACAGAAAACUUACGGUAGUAACCAAAGCAUUGAUGAGACCUAAAGGAUGAUACUGUCAUAAAUGAAGAUAAUUGAUCUUUCAUUAUUUAAGUGAUAUUUUGUUUAUUCAUUUAUAAACAAUAAUAUUGUAAUAAAUAUGUACAAGGAAUUUCUUGAUGAUACACAUCGAAUUAACGUAGACUGGACACAUUUGUAUAUUUAAAGAGAUAUUAUUUUUAAAUAAUAGAAAAUA
rnacentral:lncRNA from 1 species